rnacentral:rRNA from 1 species
UAACCUGAGAGUUUGAUCCUGGCUCAGAACGAACGCUGGCGGCAUGCCUAACACAUGCAAGUCGAACGCAUCGCAAGAUGAGUGGCGCACGGGUGAGUAACGCGUGGGAACCUGCCCUGUGGUACGGAAUAACCCCGGGAAACUGGAGCUAAUACCGUAUACGUCCUAUGGGAGAAAGAUUUAUCGCCAUGGGAGGGGCCCGCGUCCGAUUAGGUAGUUGGUGAGGUAACGGCUCACCAAGCCUUCGAUCGGUAGCUGGUCUGAGAGGAUGAUCAGCCACACUGGGACUGAGACACGGCCCAGACUCCUACGGGAGGCAGCAGUGGGGAAUAUUGGACAAUGGGCGAAAGCCUGAUCCAGCAAUGCCGCGUGAGUGAUGAAGGCCUUCGGGUUGUAAAGCUCUUUCGCACGCGACGAUGAUGACGGUAGCGUGAGAAGAAGCUCCGGCUAACUUCGUGCCAGCAGCCGCGGUAAUACGAAGGGGGCAAGCGUUAUUCAAAAUGAUUGGGCGUAAAGGGUUCGUAGGUUGUAUUUAAAGUUAUGCAUUAAAG